rnacentral:tRNA from 1 species
GCGGAUAUAACUCAGUAGGUUCAGAGUGCUAGAUUGUGAUUCUAGAUGCCGCAAGUUCAAAUCUUGCUAUUCGCC